UGAUGUUUAGUGCAGGAAUAGAAACCCUGACUAAGACACCCUCCCAUUUGCUUCCUGCUAUGUCUGCUGAGCACCGUGGAUGACAGCUGAGACUUCCCAUCAGAACUGAUGUUUGGGAAUAACUCAGUUUAAAAGACCACGUCCUAACAACCGGAAUGGGCCGAUUAUUCCGGCAUAAUCCGCUGAGAAUCGUCGCUGCGUGCAGUAGGCAAAUGCGCCUGAAUGAUUGCCGAAAGUUUGCUGAGAGACGCAGGCUCCCACCACCAGGAGACACGUUAAUGCCCAUUUGUUAAAAAAUGUUUUUGAGGUUUAUUUCCAAUAGAAGGAUUUGUUUCAUUUAA